UUCGUCGUGAGGCGGAAUCUGAAGGAAGCUGUAGGCAAACUCCUGGCCCGACGAACAGGAACCGCAUAUGAGGCAGCCACAUCUGGGCGAGAGGGCCAUGAAACUCGAAGGUAAGCGUUCAUUCCACGACGUAGUUGACCUACUUCACGUCACGCAGAGGCCUUAAUAAC
rnacentral:misc_RNA from 1 species